rnacentral:misc_RNA from 1 species
GAUGAAGAACGUAGCGAAAUGCGAUACUUGGUGUGAAUUGCAGAAUCCCGUGAACCAUCGAGUCUUUGAACGCAAGUUGCGCCCGAAGCCAUUAGGCCGAGGGCACGCCUGCCUGGGCGUCACACGUCGUUGCCCCCCCAUCUACUCCUUCGGGAUUGCGGGGGGCGGAUGAUGGCCUCUCGUGCGCCUCGUCGCGCGGUUGGCCUAAAUGCCAAGUCCUCGGCGACGCACGCCACGACAAUCGGUGGUUGCGAAACCUCGGUUGCCUGUCGUGUGCGGUCGUCGCGCAUCGAGGGCUCGAAAAAAUUGCCGGGCUUCGGCUCGACUUUCAACGCGACCCCAGGUCAGGCGGGGUUACCCGCUGAAUUUAAGAAUAUCAAUAAGCGGAGGA